rnacentral:lncRNA from 1 species
AUGAAAUGUGUUCAGUUUUUGUUGCUAUUGUCAAAAUGGCUAUGGUUGGAUGGGUUUCUUAAACUAAACACUUGGCCACGACGACGGCUAUAGCUCUGUCAAUGACGGAGUGAAUGCAAGGGAUAACUUAAUUACCUUUGACGACCUUCUUGAGAAGCUUCUCAUCCAGGAACUAUCAAUCGCCGCUGUUCAGCAACAACCCCCUGCCCCAUUCACUGCCUUGAAUGCUCAGGUAAGACCCAACAACAAACGGCGCCCUGCCAAGCUCCCCACACAAUCAAAUCAACGCCCUGGAAAUCGCAAAC